UUCAGAUUACGUCUAACUCUUACAACUGACCACCAGAGGAAAUGCAUCAUUAAAGUCAUUGCAUUAUUUAUCAGAGAAGCUAAUGAAAUCAUAACUACAGUAACUGAAUACAUGCUGCCCAGAGCUGGUUUAAAAAAGUGCCUAUAAAACCCCAGUUAAUCACCGUGGGACCAAAGCCUUUUAUACUUCAGCUCUUGAAACCAAAACCUUUGCGGUGUUUGUGUAAAGGCCUCAAAAUUCCUGACUCAUACCAAGGCUGUGAAUAAGCUGCAGAUACAUCAUCUGGGAACUCUUCGAGACCUUCCGUGUCUAGAGAACGAACAAAAGAAAACAGAAUGAAGCUGAUACGUG